CCCCCUUUUUAUUUUUAUUUUGGCCUUCACCUUCCCCAAUUCGUUCAACCCUUCGACUCGUGCUUUGAGUUACGAGGUUCAAAUGAGCGACAACCUUAUCUUCCAAUGUUGCGGCUAUGGCUUGAAAUUGUUCUAAAUAAAGAUAGUGUGGUUCAUCCAUAUCAGUACUUAUAGCUCCAUUCCAGUUUUAAUCAAUGGUCUCAUGUCUUAUUCGAUGUAGAUUUUGGCAUCUGCUUUGGCCAUAUUUUUUGGGUUGUAAUGCUCCUAAAUAAUAGGCUUCUUCUGGCUUUGCGGAUGCAAGUCUCUCUUUAGCUGUGUUACUUUGAUUCCCACAUCUCACUGAUAUCGCAAGUGCGGAGAGAAAACUCUUGCUAAUACAGUGAAACAUGAGAUGGAAAAAAAGAGGAUGGACAUGCUUAAAUCAUCAUUGGAAAUAUGGUUCAUGCGGUGCAACAAGCUGUUGGAAGAAGAUUUAUUUUGGAAUUAAUUAGAUUAGAAUUUAAUGACCUUGUAUAUAAUGCUUUCAUUCUUUUUGUAAGUAAAAGCAUACAUUUUAAGAGAUUUAGUUUUUGAAAGAGAGUAAA